rnacentral:lncRNA from 1 species
AAAGAAGAAGUUGGUAUCCUAAAUUGAUGAACACUUGACAGUUUGUAAUAUACAUAUAUUUGCCUGCUUCCUUUCUACAGUAGACAAUAUAUCAUUCUUCGGAUUUAGAAUUUGAUGUUCAUGGUUCUUGGUCAUGCCUUCAGCGAUGGAGAAGCUGUUCUUGAUGGGGCAACAAGAGACUUUGCAUAUGCAGCAGGUAAAGCAAGUAUUUUCUUGGGUUUACUCACAUAAGCCCUCUUUGUAAAGUUAUUGUAGUCAUUCGCUUCAAUCUCGUCUAAUAUCUGACGAUACAACAACAGAGAUGCCCAUACCUGCAACAAUCAAGAAUCAAUAUACAUAUAAAAAUUGCUAGGAGAUUCCGGUAAAGAAGAUUUCAACUUGAUAUGAUAUAUAAUUUCAUUUCAAUUCCUCCGCAUGAACUAACAUUGAAGGAAAUUUCAACAUGAUACAGAAGUAUUUUCACUCGUGUAGUUAUGAGUUUCAAAGUUCUUUAUUUUCUCGAUUUUCAUCAUAUCCAAUGAUAAUAAGUCUUCAGUAUCAAAUAAAUAGAGGUGGUGAACUGCUUACCGGCCAUCUGCUCGCAGGGCUGAGCUCUGUGACUCCUUUUUCUGCCUCGUCAAAGAACAUUCUUGCUCUCUUAAUUUGCUUCCUCAUGAAGUUCCUCCAUUUAUCCGUCACUUUUCCUACAAAUAUAUCCUCAUUGGAAAUACCUGCCUGCGCCAGUUCAUCUUGUGGUAAAUACACCCUUCCUCUUCUUGCACUGCAAAAAAAAAAGAAACAUAUCAGAUACAAUAAGCAAAAGAUUUUGAAGCAUCUAAUACUCAUUAUAUUGAAGCAUGUAUCAACAAGAUGUUAUAAUGGUGCUCAAUGUGAUUGUCAGGAGACCAGUAAAAGGAAAUAAAAUUCAAGAUCUGGCAAGGAUUUGAGACAAAAAUUGUUGAUGUGAAGAUAUGUAUAACCAUCAUCUUUUUAUCAUUCGUAAUACUGAAUUGUAUCACUAGGGUGUUAGCGCUAAUUGAUAGUUGAGUAAAUGAUCACUAGACUUCAAUUAUUCAACUCAUGGCCCCUCUUGUUAUUGAUUUGGAAGGUAUUAAACUAAAAGAGAAUGAAACUAAUACUUAAUAAGACUUGCAUGAUCAGUUUUGCUGCUAAGUACUUACUCUUCCCCAACAUCCCUGAGAAUGUUAGUCAGCUGAUUAGCAAUCCCCAAUGCCAAAGCAGCAUUGUAAACACUCUCUGUCGUAGCCUGUGAAUCAAGUGCAAUGCCCAUAAUUGGAACGCUCAUCAAUCCAACUGUACCAGCCACAUAAUAACAGUAAAGAUAAAGCUCAUCAAAGUUUUUGUAUCUUGACUUCUUAAGGUCCAUCCUCAUUCCAUCAAUCAUAUCUUUGAAUGGCUGAAAAGAAGACAUGGGAGAUUCUACAUUACUAAGCAGUUCAGAUUAUUAAGAUAUACAGCCUAUAUUUUAAAGACCUUAAUACUUGAACCUUAAAUCAACCAUAAACAGCUACAAUGAAAAUAAUCAGGAGAAGUGCAGAAAACACCGAAAAAAUACAUAAGAUGUGUAAUAAUCUACAUAAAAUUAGGAAGGAAUAAUGUUGGCUAUGAUGCCCCUAUGUUGAGAAAGAACAUGAUAAACAUUAUUCAGAAUUCAUUGAUUCUUGAAUUUGAUUUAUUAUUAACAUCAAACAUCUUUAGUGCGAGUAGAACUCCAUUAGAUUGGAUAUUAUAGUCGCUGUCAAGCAAUUGCAAUAUACUAACCAACCUGAAUGUCAACAGGAAACUUGGUAACCGUGUCUGAUAAAGCAGCAUCAAGCAUGUCGAAUGGACGCCCCUUGAAAAGAUCCUCCAGUCUUAACUCCCACCUAUCCAAAGC